rnacentral:lncRNA from 1 species
ACACUUCAUCGUCCAUCACAGCUCAACCUGCACAUUCAUAAACAUAUGCAGGGCUAAGUACAAGAGUACUUAGUGGGCAGUUGCCAAAACUAAAAUAUAAGCUUAACAUUGUAUUUACAAACCACCGCAUAAUAAGAGACAUGAGCCUUCUUUCAAAUCCUUUGCCUACUAAAUAUUUCCAAAUCCAUAAAAUAGUGUGAGUGCAUUCUUCAUCAUCAAAAGUCUUAAUAAGCAUCGUGUCGUGAGGAAGACCUUCCUCAACAAACACAGGCAUCGCGCCGUGAGGGAGGCCUCCCUCAGCGGACACGGCAUCGUACUGUUGAGGGAGGCCUCCCUCAACAGACGUUUGACCGGCCAACCCUCUCAUUGACUCACGGUCGCGUUGUAUGUUUAAAUCCUGGCAAGAUAGCUAUCCGCUCAGGAUUCGAACUCGUUAACAUCAUCACGUAGGCAUUAAUAAGUGUAAAGCAUUCAAGCGCAACAAAGCAUAUAUAAAUUAUACAGGCGUAACAAAGCGUAAAGACUAAAGCGUAGAACAUUUAGGCGUAAAUAAUAUAGCGUAAAUUACUUAGGUGUAACCAGCGUAAAUAACAUAGCGUAAAACAUUUAAACGAAACAAAGCAUAACUCGAUUAAGCAUAAUAAAGCGUAACUCAAUUUAAGUGUAAUAAACCAUAACUCAUUUAAGCAUAAUAGGGCAUAACUCAAUUAAGCGUAAUAAAGUAUAAUUUUUUUUUUUAAAGCAUAAAGUCUUUAAUAGUUCUAGAAUAGCAUUUUAUUUUAUGCAUAAGAAAUGCCCACCUGAUAGCAAAGAUUUGCUAAGGUGUUGUAACUCCUUGAAUAGCUCCUGCUCUCGCGCUUGACCUUUAUUACGACGAUAUAAAAUAAAGGCAUUGGCCCGAGGAAAAUUCUCAAUUAAUUGAGAAUGUGUAAAUUAACUAUGCAUGACUCAUAUUUCGCUAUUAACAAUCCAAACUAUAGGAUUAAAGCUCGUCUUAUGAGACUGGAGUAUUAAUCUUAAUUAAUCCACUCAUCUUUAGGUAUGCUAACCCACUUACUAAUUAAUAAUCCUCAUUCUAAAUUAAUCCAUAAUUAGAACUAACUAAAUCCAAUUAAUAGAUUAAUCUAGACUAGUCUUUAAUCGGGCUAAAUAAAUAGUAAGACAGCCUAAUGAUUAAUUGGGAGCAACAUAAGGCAACCCAAUAAAAGAAAUUGGAUCCAAUCAAACAACCAUCGCAGUUCAUUCUACUUAAAAUAUGCCGUCAACUUCACUGAGCCACCAUCGGUACCUCCCUCUCCCUUCAAUUCGUGUCUCUCUAACUCUCUGAUUUCCCUCUGUUCCUUUCUCGCUUCUAAAUUUUCACCUCAAAUUUCAGUAAGCAAAACUGAGCCCUAGCCCCAUUUCUGGAAUCGCCGCUGUCGCGGCCCUUCUCCGGCGCGAUGGAUCGCCGUUGGACAUGUGAAUCGGCGAGAGUCGCCGUCAGCAUCGGGUCUCCCGACCUUAGGUGUCUUGCUGCCUUCGCCCUUGAGUUCCAGCUAGCGGAUGCUUCCGUCGAUGCACUCUGCCCAUCGGAACAGAACUCGUUCUGCUUGGUGUCGCCCUUAGGCGCAGCCAUGGCGCUCUGCCCCAAACCCCCAGAUUGAACGGCAACAGGCCACCAAGGAUAAAACUCAACAGGUUACUAGCAUUUUCUAAGUUCAUUCUAUCUUAUGAAAUCUUGGUUUUCCAUACUCCGAUUAUGCUUAUGCUGGAGAUUACACUAGGCAUGAUUUUGCUAUCUGUCGUAAGAAAUUCUCAUUGUAUUUGCCUUGUGUGAAAGUCAUGGGUUGUUGAUUCUAUAUGGAUAAAAGAUUAUACCAUUCGUCUCCUACUAUGCUUUUCAAAUAAACUGAUCAUAUGCUUCAUGGGAAAUGAGGCGUGUAACAAAGAAGAAAGCAUACUGAUGUAAAAAUACCUUGAAUGUUUGUUCUUUUGGCUGUCUGUGCUGCUAUGUUCAAUAAGAAAGAGCUUAAAUGAAUUGCAUAUUUUGUUUAGCAAUUGCAGACUGAACUCAAGAAGAAAUGGUGAAAGAGUUGGCCAUUCUUACCUUUCUGAGUCUGCCAGAAGCUGAAUCAAAAUUCUUUCCCUUUGAGAGUUGGUACACGAAGGAAGAUAUGAAGGAGAAUUUGUUGACUGAAAUUAUAGAAGAAAGGGUUGUUGGCUAAUAGUAUAAAGAGUGGAGUUGGUGCUGAUACUUGAGUGUUUGACAAGAUGAAGCAUGCGUAGGUUAUAGAUGAAUGACCCUUAGCAGCAUGGCUUUGAGUUGAAAAGGGGCUGCAGAGUUGAAGAAAAUGAGUUGAUGUUUGUACUUGCAUACUUUCUAUUGCUGAUUUUGGGCUUUGCGUGUAUGUAGCCGACAGAGUAGGACUUGAUAUUAAGUGUAGGAAAGUUGUGAGGUGACAAUUAAAAUCCCUCCGUCUUGUAUCAUUUGCGCGUUUGUGAUACUAAUUCCGAGU